ACUUUUAUUUACUUUGCUUCAAAGGCUAAUGUUAAAAAUAGACUCUUUUAGUAUUCCAAAUUCUUUCAAAUAUAUUCAUAGAGUUAGAAAGAACAGUUAUUAUAUAUGUAAAAUUACGAGUCCGGCUAUGAUGCUUGUAAAAGUACCAAGUAUUUAGUGUUUAUAAAUUUUUUACCGUUAGAUCUACGUCUUUGAUCAUUUUCACCCGUUAGAUUAUACUAUUCAACCAACCACCCACUUAACCCUAGGGGGCCCACAUCAUAUUAACCGCACAUCCCUUAAUCUAAAGGCUAAAAACUUACAAACACCAAUGACUUGGUACUUUUAAAAGCAUAGGAGCCCAAUUCGUAAAAUUACUAUUUUAUCUUUUUCAAAUAUAUCGCUCUAUUGUCGCCAAUUUUUCUGAUUUGUCCAAUAAAUUACAAAAAAAAAAUAUUUUGACUUCUUUUAUUUCAAAAAUAUCUUUAAUUGUUACUAACUUUUCUUAUUUACUCUUAAAUUAGAGGCAAAAAAAAUUUUGAUUUUUUUUAAGUCCGACAGAAAUAAGAUAUUUCAAAAGUAUCGAGAGUUAUAUAGACAAUUAUCCCUUUUUUAAGAACACUCCAAAUUUUAACACUUUUGCAAAGUCGCAUACUUUAAUUUUGACAAUUAAAAUUUUUAAUUUUUAUUAAAUAGCUUAAUAGAUUUUGUUUUUAGCAAAAUUACUAAUUGAACGGUCAUUUUAAUCACAUGUUAUAUAUCUUAUAUAGGAAUGUCAUUGGGUUAGAUUCUAAGCGAAUUUUUUUAAAAAAAAUCUAAACCCUCACACUCGAUAACCAUAAUCAAAACUCAAGCCUGAAUCCAAAUCCAAACUCAAUAAUUUUCGAAAAUCCGUAUCCAAAACUAUAUCCAACCAAAACUCGGGCGCGUUUGGUUCAAAUUAUGUAAUAUUACAGAGUAUUUCGAUAUAUCCAGAUAUUUUGAAUUUUUAAAUGAGAUUACUACUGAUGUUGUAUUAGCGUGUUUGGUUUAAUGCAGUACUGUAAUGUUGGAUUACAGUAUUUAUAGUAUUACUAUAUUCUGUUCAGUCUAUAAAAUUCAGUAAUCUUGAUAGUAUAUUCUAAUAUUGUCCUUAACCACAUUUGACAAACUUUUUUUUUCUUUUUACAAAUAAUUUUUUUUACUAAAUUUUAUUUUAAAUAAUUUAAUUUUUUAAAAUUUUAAAUU
rnacentral:lncRNA from 1 species